rnacentral:rRNA from 1 species
UGAACAACCUGUCCCUACGUUCCGGAUAAUUGACCGAAAGGUCUUGUAAUACGGGGGAGGGUCUUUAUGGGGCAUCUCAUGAAGAAGGAACGUGCCGGAGUAAUCCGGUGCGGUGCGGGGAGGGGUUCGCGGAUUAUCAGCUUGUUGGUGAGGUAACGGCUCACCAAGGCGACGACGAUUAGCUGGUCUGAGAGGAUGGUCAGCCACAUUGGAACUGAGACACUGUCCAG